UUGCGAAUGGAUGGCGCGAUCUCCGCUCACAUUUUUUUUUUCGUAUAGAUGAAGUGAAUAAUGUGUAUUUUUCAUAAUAUCUAUUUUAGAAUGUUGAUAGGGAUGACAUUUGGGCUUUAAUGAUACUUGGAGAGGGAGAUUUUCUAUUUACUUGAGGACAACAUCAACACCCUCCUCACCAGCACAUAAAAGGGGGGGUCUGCUUUGCUUUAAGGGCUACUGACACAUUUUAAUAUUUAUUUAAUGAAAAAAAGGUAGCCAGAAUGGACCCAUCAGUUUUUUCGCCAGACAUCAGGAUGUUGUCGUAUAAGGACUUUUGUUUCUCCCACCAUUGAAAUCCUAUCAAGGCAUUCGUUUUGGAGAAAAAGCAGGAAGUGACAUUUUUUCCAAGAAGCCCACACUGGCGGUUUUGUGUGUUUAGACUGGUUUUAUCGGCGCGAAAGUUGCUGUUUUUUUUCCUGCAUUAGCCAAAAUGCAGUCUUGUAUUGCUGGAUAUUGCUAGAACACUUGAGAGGAUGGAUUUGCUCUUCACACUUUUCCAAAAGAUGCAGUUCGUCGUGAAAAAUGGAUUGCACUGGUGCAAAGGAUGAGAGCUUCGUUGGCCCCAAAUGACACGUAAUCCUUUCAGUGAGAGACGACAGCGCUUGCGGCCGCGUUGUGGUGGCUCAUUGCACCGGUGUCAUCACUCACGGCUGAGGAUGUCAGUGGGACUGAAAGUGGCAGGAAAGAUCGACCCAAGCAGACGUGCUAAAGAUGAUUUCCUGGUGGUCUGGUGGUGUAAGCAGCGCAAAAGGUGAAAAUCAGGAUUCCAGAAUCAGCUUUCAUGGCCAAGUAUGUAACAAUACACAAGGAAAAGUGUACCAUUGUUUGUUUUUGAAAUAAAUUACAUUAAAGUACAGAACUGUACACGAACCAUCUCUUGCGUUCCAUUAGACAAGUUCAUCGAUCUCGUUAUAGUCACAGCCCCAGGUUUUUUUGUCCAAUCACAAAUCAGUAACUCAGCCUUUACAGAUUCAUUGCCUUCCGGAUUGUUGGAAUUUUUGGAAUGCUUAGCACCAUUUUACACACCAAACAACUGGGGGGGUUAUUACAAGCGAGGGGGGUAUUAAAGACAUACCUAACGUCAAGUUUGGUCAACUUUUAUAACAGGUUAAUUUAAGGGUAAUGGAAGUUGUUGCAGGAGGCGAGAGACACGGUUCUUUAAUGUAACAUGAUAUGACAGACAUGGUUAGUUCUUUUGCAAUACAUACAGGUUUUAACAUGGUCAUACCAUAUGUAAUGUAACCCUUAAUACGGUUUUCCAUAACCUUAAGCUUUUUGGAGGUACAGAAUCUCAAUUUCUUUCACAUGCAUUCACUAAACCCUUUGUAAUGGUUUUGUGAGUCUCUGUAUCAGUCGCAGUCAGUAGUUGGUUCUAAAUUAGCUUCAGUGGCACACAAGCAACACCAGCCCUUUUUUUUCAUCUUGAAUGAUACUUUGUCUUUGACUACAGCACAGGUAUCAAACUCAAGCCCGGGGGCAAGAUCCGGCCCACCACAUCAUUUUAUGUGGCCCACGAAGACAAAAUACGUGUCAACUUGAAUGGUUCCUGCUGAAAUCUGUACUAAAUUUCAGAGAUCAUAAAUAACUGGGAUAUUGCAAGAAUGUUUGUGUUACCAAACACGAAUAGUUGAAAAACCCAUUACCCUUGAUUUCUGAUUUCAAAACUAGUUCAUAAAUUUCAUAUGUAAAUAUGAUGAGGUGAUUAAACAGUUUUAUGAUUUUACAGUCACAACAGCCCUCUGAGGGAAACCAUAUCUACAAACUGGCCCAUGGAAAAAAUGAGUUUGACACCCCUGGACUACAGGAUCUGGUUCCAGUGUUAAAAAAAAAAAAAAGUAUGGUCCUUAAGCACAUUCACAUGGAAGGUGUGAAUUAAACAAUGCCUGGAUCAGACUUCAAGAUAAAUUUGGUCUUUCAUGAUUCCGAAGUCCGACGACUGCAUUAAAAUCUAUCUCGGUCAGACACUGGUAAUAUGAGGUGUGUUCAGAUACUGCCGUAUCCUGUCUUUUAGGAUUCCUCUGCUUUACUGUAUCUUGUCAAAUCACACACUGUUUGGUAGACAUGACCAGAAAACGCGUCACCUUUCACAGCAACUGGAUACAACCAUUACAAUGGUAACAACCAGUUGUCAAACAAUGGAUAGCAUCAGGAAUGUUUUUGGGGGAAACGUGUGGUAUCAUCAGGCUCUCAUGAGAGGAUGUUUUGAGCUGUACAUUAAAGGAUUGUUUGAGCUAUGUUCACGUAAAAUACGGUUAACAAGACGGGAACAAAAACGUUAUGUAGCCUCGCAAGCUACUGCUAGCACUAACAUUUGUAUAUAAACGUGCAAAUCUUUCAAAGCUUUGGUAAACGUUUGUACGCAUGUAUUGGUACUGACAACAGGAAGCACAGGAGGCAAUCUGCCGAUCAAAAUACACAAUCCUACGGGUCAAGGUUAUUUUGGGUAUCGUAUGGCCAAAUCAUUGGCUGAGGAUUAAGUAACAUUACAUGACGUUUUGUUGUUCUCAACAAAAUAUGUUAGGGUCAAUCUUGGAAAUCUGCGAUGGCAAAUCGGGCGUAUAUCAGGGCUAGAACCCCGUAGUCUGCUUUAGGCAUUA